GUCCCUGUGGCUCAGUUGGUAGAGCAUGGUACGUGCAACGCCAGGGUUGUGGGUUUGAUUCCCACGGGAGGCC
rnacentral:tRNA from 1 species